CUGGCCCAGCUAAUUAUGCCAAAUACAAAAUUAAUACCACUCAUGCCUUCCUUUAUUUUCCUCUUCCCUAUUUAUAAGCUUCUGGGUAUGUGAUUCUGUUCUGCACUGCCACUAGCUCGCAUGGCUUACCAAUUCCUCUAACUACUCUAUUUCCCGAACCUUCUCUCCAUCUGCUAGAAUAUUCCUAGCUCAGCUCCAUUCCCUAACAUUACCAGCCCCUUGAAGAUAGCCUUGUCCUCAAGGUUGAAAUGUGACCACUGAUUGUGAAUACCAAGUCCCUCCAAAUGGCAUGAACUGCAGAAAGAGCAUUGCAUUGAAUCAGAAUUGAGGAAUUUGCUCUCUCUUGCACAGUAUGAUUCCCCUUUUAUAUAUCAAGACUGACAAUACAUCCGUUGCAUUUUCUCUAGUUAUACCUUCGAUAACUGCCUGAAAGAAAAUUAAUACUGUAAUAAGCACUUCUCUAAUCAAAGAUGGAUUCCCUUUAAUGCAUACUCGUCCCUGUUUAAGAAUUAUUGACAAUUUCACCCAAUUAAUCAAUUCCUCUCCCAUAUUUACUAACCAAGCUAUUCCCAAAAUGAAAUCAAUUCUCAUCAGUUAAAACACAAAACAACUUGUCUUCAAUUGCAGUUUACACAGACACAAUUUUAGUGGGUAGGCCCUUUGUAUAAAAUGGAGCUUGUAACCAUUACCCAAUUGAAUGCUGGAAUAAGUGGUAUAUUUUACUCGAAGCUGGAAAAAUGAGAUUGAUGUGAGUGUCCCAAAUUUAAGACUUCCCUUGCUAAUAGUUGGCUUCCUAUCCAUUAAUCCCAAAUUUAACCAUAGCACCCUGUGAGUGAAAUUAACUCGAACAUUAUGUUGCCACCCUUGCAUCAAUUUGCUGGAAAUUGUGAUUGCCUAAUGUUUGAAAAAAAAAUUAAAAAAUGGUAGAAGGCAAGAAAAUCAAGAAAUGGUUGAAGGGGCAAGAAUUGAAUAACCGUUUAUUAAAUUUUGUUGGGCCUUGAUUUGGAGGCUUGGGAGGUGGCCUUAGAAAAUUGUGUGGGUGUACACGUAACUUGGGUGGUCUAGCCUAGUGGUGUAACCAUUUAAGCGGACCAAAAGAUUUGGAUUCAAGUUUUGAAUUUGUUGGUGAAACUGGGCCAACCUUUCUAACCCCUCCUUUCAAUCAAAGCCCAAGUCCCAUACCUAUCUUCUUCAUCCCUCCAUAAGUACCAGACACCUCAAUAAACAGGUCCCUCUCCUGCAUCGGCUUCUUAAUUUGUUGGUUAUGCUUUAUGUCAAAGUCCCUCAUCCAAUCAGCUUUUAUGCCCUCUCAUAACCUUGUACUCAAAUAACCCAGAAACUUAGCUUUGGAGAGUGCUAGUACCCACGUUGCUUUAGAGAUCGACACUUCGUCAUUCUUCGUCUUUGAGCCUACUCGUUGAACUUUGGCGGGAUUUCCAAAGUUACCAUCGUUAACUUCCCUAAAAUGUUGAAGAAUUGCUGCUUUAAAGUGGUCCUAAGAUGGUUGCAUGUCUUGUUGGCAAAACUCUCGCACCCAUUGAAGCGGUUCUGUAUCCAUUUUGGCCAAAACAAAAAGGUUUUUCAUAUCAUAGUGAGUCCCAUAUAUUGCCAAAAUAUCGCUCAGUGUGUGCAAUCCAUUGAAUGUUAUAUCAACUGUCUUUGCGAUGAAUGGAACUUUCUUCCGAAGUCGAUCUUGAGCAUCCACACAAAUGGUCGUAGUCUCCCCAUUGGCUGGUUGUUGAAAUUGGAGAUUGGAAACGUUGUCAUCGUGCACUAUUACCUUCUCCUGCAUCAACAAGGUUAGCAUAUUUUUUAUUCUUUUGAAUUUCUGUUCCCGCUCCAAGCGAAGAUUAGCUAGUUUUUGUGCUAGGGAAACCAUUCUCCUCUCCAUCUUUUCGAUUUUGUUCUCCAUUAUUAUGGUUGUGAGAAUUCGUUAGCGGGCUAGACCAAUUGAUAGAGUAGGGAGUUUUAGCAGCAGAAUAAGAGAAACAAAUAAGAGAAAAAUCAGCUCAAUAAAGCUUCUAUUAUUGUAAUUUUUGGAAAUGAAUAGCAGAUACAACCAAAUGACAAUACACAAAUCAAAUGGUUAUCUAGAAACUCAGAGAGAAUCCUAGUCUAGCAAAUUAUGCUGAAUACAAAAUUAAUACCAGUCAUGCCUGUCUUUAUUUCCCUCUUCCCUAUUUAUAAGCUUUUGCGCAUGUCAUUCCGUUAUGCACUAGCUGGCGUGGCCUACCAUUUCCUCUAACUACUCUAUUUCCCAAACCUUCUCACCAUUCCUUUACAUUAAGUUUCUUUUUUAUUUUUUAUUUUUGUAAAAAUGCACAAUAUAAGAUGCUAUAAUGUAGUGCUUGCUAGGAGAGAUGAGAGAAAAGGCUGAUAUGAUUUCAUGUGAUGCAUGGUUAUUAAAGGCGUGCCUCAGGCUCUAGGUUCACCAGGCUCCAACCCUAGCGCCUCCAUAGGAGAAAGGCGGGCGAUAUUCACCAUGCCCCAUAGUUAUCAAAGGCUCAAGGUGCACCAGGCGCCAAGGUGUCCUGGAGCCUAGGCGGUGUCCUGGAGCCUAGGUGUAAGGCACAGGCGCGCUCCUGAGGUGCAAAAAUAAAAAUAAAAAAUAAA
rnacentral:misc_RNA from 1 species